CUCAUUUCAGACUGAUCCAGAUUUGCCUCCCGGCUGGAAAAGAAUCAACGACAUUGCUGGGACCUAUUAUUGGCACAUCCCAACAGGAACGACUCAGUGGGAACGGCCUGUCUCCAUCCCAACAGAUCUUCAGGGUUCUAGAAAAGGGUCACUUAGUUCUGUAACGUCAUCUCCCACCCCGGAGAACGAGAAACAGCCAUGGAGUGAUUUUGCUGUUCUGAAUGGGGGAAAGAUUAAUAGUGACAUUUGGAAGGAUUUGCAUGCAGCCACAGUUAACCCAGACCCCAGUUUAAAAGAGUUUGAAGGAGCAACACUACGCUAUGCAUCUUUGAAACUCAGAAACACCCCACAUGCUGAUGAUGACGAUUCUUGUAGUAUCAACAGUGAUCCCGAAGCCAAGGUUUGUGAGAAACAUA